GGAAGUUGCUUUUCCCACUAAAAUACAUCAAGUAUAUGCCCAACCUUCAUGAAAAUCAAUAGAGAACCAAAGCACCUUUUUGUGGGUGGCCUUAGUGAGACGGUUUCUGAGACAGACCUGCAAAAUCAGUUCAGCAGAUUUGGAGAAGUUUUUGAUGUGGAGAUCAUCACACGGAAAGAUGACCAAGGAAACCCACAGAAAAUUUUUGCAUAUAUCAACAUUAAAGUAGCAGAAGCAGACCUGAAAAAGUGUAUGUCUGCUUUAAAUAAAACAAAAUGGAAAGGUGGAACACUGCAAAUUCAGCUAGCAAAAGAAAGCUUUUUGCACAGAUUGGCCCAAGAAAGAGAAGAAGCAAAAGCAAAAAAUGAAAAAUUAACAACAGGCAACACCAACUUGUUAGAAAAGAUGGGAGGGGCAAAUUUCCAUAUGAAAGCUGUGCCAGGAACAGAAGUGCCAGAGCACAAGAAUUGGAUUGUGAGUAAAUUUGGAAGAGUCUUACCUGUUCUUCACCUGAAGAAUCAAAAUAAAGGUAAAAUCAUAAAAUAUGAUUCAUCAAAAUAUUGCCACAACCUUAAGAAGAUAGAGGAGGAUUUUACAAAUACCAUUCCUAUAACCAACCUCACUUGGGAAUUAGGAGGAGGAAAUGACCCUAUGAGUAAAAAACAGCAAGGAGAGUUCUCUGACUUUCAUGGCCUGUCUAAGAAGAUGAUAAAUGUCCAAAAGGACAAAGCUCCCACUGGGUCUUUAGCCACAAAUCCAAGGUCCAGUUCAAUAAUGGAGAGUCCCUACUUAACCACAGCAACAAACUACACAAAAGAGAACUUGUGAUUCUAUUACUCAUUCUAAAUCACCCCCUGUUUCACGUUCUGACACUCAGAAACUUAAAAAGGUACUUUUUCAGACAUCUGGCUUGGAAACCAGGAAGAGAAACAGCAUGUCUGAUGAUGAUAUUGAUUCUGAAGAUGAAUUAAGAGCAAUGAUUACAAAAGAGGAAAAUUUACAGAGGACUAUGUGGUCUUCUAUAAAUGAAUCUGAAGAUUAUCCCUUUGAAGUUGUAAGGGAUGACUUCAAAUCAGAUGUUCACAAACUUUAUUCUUUAACAGAUUUAAGUGUCAAAAAUAAUGUCUCUUGUCAUAUUAGUGAUAAUAAUAUUAUGGGAAAUGAUAGUGAGUAUGAUUCAGAAGAUACAGAUGAAAUCAUUGCAAUGAAAAAAAAAACAUUGAUAAAGUCAAAAACAGUACAGAAUUUUCACAAAUGGAAAAAUCUAUACACAAGAAAAAUUCGUUCAAAAACAGAGAAAACUCUGAUCUUUCUGGUCAUUGUAUUAAAGUACAAAAAGGAAAAAAUAUAAAUUCAGCCCUCACUUAUGGGGUGAAACCUCUUAAUCUUAAAUCUCCAUUUGACUCCAGCAGCAGUGAAGUUGUUGAUUCUGCAUCAGAAUUAGCUAAGUCUGAAGAAGAUGAGGGAGUAUAAUGCCAUCAUGAAAAACAAAACUGUCUUCAUGUGAAUCUCACGUUAGCUGAUUUGGAACAAUUGGCUGGCAGUGACCUGAAGGUUCAAAUUGAAGAUAACAAAAGUAAUAGCCCAAAAUCUAUCACCUACUACAAGUCUGACAGAGCCUCUAAGAACCCUGAUAGACUCGACAGAGGCCGACAGUGUAUUCAUCCUGAAGAAAUUGUAGCUUCCCUUUUAGAAGGAGAGAAUUCUUACGGUAAACAGAAAGCAAAGGAAAACAUCUUAAAGCCAAAAUUUCAGGCUUUCAAGGGAAUAGGCUGUCUCUAUGAAAAGGAGUCAACAAAAAAAAAUCCUUGAAAGAGAAUGUUAUAAAUGAAGAUUGGAAUUCCUUUAAACAUGAGGAUCCCAUGAGCAUUUCCAUUGAAAGUGGUUCCACAUAUGCUAAUGGCUCAUCAAAUCAACUGACUCCAUGCCAACAUGCAGAGAAGGCAAAUGGCCCACACCAUAUUCAGUCUCAAAAAAGACAGUUCACUUUUGAGAACCCGGAUCACAAGGUGGAAUCCUCUAGCAAUUCAGAAAAGGGAGGUAGGACUCCUAUUUCUAGUCUGUUGCUGUUAAAAGGAAAGAAAUCCUUAAGUGCAAAGACUUGCAAGAUAGGCUCUGACAAAGAUAGUUGGCAUAGCACCACAAAGACAAAAGCUUCAGAGGAAGAGAGGUCUCAUUCUAGCAUCCUCACAUCUCUGGAUAAGUCACCAAAGGUCUCUUCCAGGAAGGACACACAGGAAAGCAAAACUGACUUCUCACUUUCUAUUAGUAAUUCUUCAGAUGUGAGUGCUGAAAAUAAGCAUUCCGUAGACAACCAGAAGCGUUUGGAAGUCUUGGAGGCAAGGCAGAAAGCAAAAGAAGUGCAAAAGAAGCUGGUGCGUAAUGCUCUGGCAAAUUUGGAUGGUCAUCCAGAAGACAAGCCAACACACAUCAUCUUUGGUUCCGACAGUGAAAAUGAAACGGAGGAGAUACCCACCCAGGAGCAGAAUACCCACUCAGGAGCAGAGCCAUCCAGGAGAACUGGUGAAAGAGUCUGUAAGUAAAGUAUCCGGGAAGCUGUUUGACAGCAGUGCAAAUGAAGAAUCUGAUUCGGAAGAUGACAGUAACAGGUUCAAAAUUAAACCUCAGUUUGAGGCGAGAGCUGGACAGAAGCUAAUGGAUUUACAGCCACACUUUGGCACUGAUGAAAGAUUUCACAUGGACUCUCGAUUUCUAGAAAGUGACAGUGAAGAAGAACAGAAAGAUAUAAAUGAAAAGAAAACUGCUGAAGAAGAGGAGCUUGCUGAAGAAAAGAAGAAAGCCCUGAAUGUUAUGCAAAGUGUCUUGCACAUCAACUUAAACAGUUCUACAAGCAAAGGAUCAGUAGCUGCUAAGAAAUUCAAGGACAUUAUACGUUAUGAUCCAACAAGACAUGACCAUGCUACUUAUGAAAGAAAAAGAGAGGAUCAACCAAAAGAAAGUAAAGUAAAAUGAAAGAAGAAAAGGGAGGAAGCUGAAAAAGUACCUGAAUUGUCUAAAGAAAUAUAACAUUGCUAUGGAUUUGAAAGAAAUAUUCCAAGCUACAAAAGAUACCAAUGAAAAAGAAGACACUCCAUUGAAGGAGGACUGUGUUGGAGAGAAAUCUGAGGAAAUCAAGGACUCUGCAACUAUGACAAGUGAAGCUGAGCAGCCUGAUAGCUUCACAUUCUCCUUUUUUGGUUCAGACACGAAAGACAUAAAAGAAGAGAUCUAUAGAGUUGAAACUGUGAAACCUGGGAAGAUUGCCUGGCAAGAAGACCCUCGUUUCCAAGAUAGCAGUUCAGAAGAGGAGGAUAUUACUGAAGAAAAGAUCACAGAAAGCCUAGCCCUGGAGAAGAAUCAUUACCUCAGAAAGAGACCACUAGAUUUUUCUUUUUCUCUGAGAAUGAUGAAAGACUUUAUGGUUCUGAUUUAUUCUGGAGAGGAGUGGGAAAUGAUAUUAGCAAGAGUUCUUGGGAGGCCAGAACAAAUAACUUGCGUAUGGAUUGUCGGAAGAAACAUAAAGAUGCAAAAAGGAAAACGAAACCAAAGUAAUAAAUGUCAGCAUUGGCGUUGAUCCUGAAUGUGAAUGAGGCUCACCUAUGGAAAUUGACCAAGUAAAUAAUUUUAGCUGACAAAGAAGACAUUUCUGAGUGAUAGAAUAUUCAAAAGCUGGAUGAUGGAAUAUCAUUGUGGUGGCCAUCUUUUUCUAUGGAAUUCCUCUGUAUUUCUUCCUAAGUAAUUACUUCAAAAAAUUAAACUGAACUUUUUACA